rnacentral:rRNA from 1 species
GACGAACGCUGGCGGCGUGCUUAACACAUGCAAGUCGAACGGAAAGGCCCUGCUUUUGUGGGGUGCUCGAGUGGCGAACGGGUGAGUAACACGUGAGUAACCUGCCCUUGACUUUGGGAUAACUUCAGGAAACUGGGGCUAAUACCGGAUAGGAGCUCCUGCUGCAUGGUGGGGGUUGGAAAGUUUCGGCGGUUGGGGAUGGACUCGCGGCUUAUCAGCUUGUUGGUGGGGUAGUGGCUUACCAAGGCUUUGACGGGUAGCCGGCCUGAGAGGGUGGCCGGCCACAUUGGGACUGAGAUACGGCCCAGACUCCUACGGGAGGCAGCAGUGGGGAAUAUUGCACAAUGGGCGGAAGCCUGAUGCAGCAACGCCGCGUGCGGGAUGACGGUCUUCGGGUUGUAAACCGCUUUCGCCUGUGACGAAGCGUGAGUGACGGUAAUGGGUAAAGAAGCACCGGCUAACUACGUG